ACUCCUACGGGAGGCAGCAGUGGGGAAUAUUGCACAAUGGGCGAAAGCCUGAUGCAGCGACGCCGCGUGGGGGAUGAAGGCCUUCGGGUUGUAAACCCCUUUCAGCAGGGAAGAAGCGAAAGUGACGGUACCUGCAGAAGAAGCGCCGGCUAACUACGUGCCAGCAGCCGCGGUAAUACGUAGGGCGCAAGCGUUGUCCGGAAUUAUUGGGCGUAAAGAGCUCGUAGGCGGCUUGUCGCGUCUGCUGUGAAAGCACGAGGCUCAACCUCGUGUCUGCAGUGGGUACGGGCAGGCUAGAGUGUGGUAGGGGAGACUGGAAUUCCUGGUGUAGCGGUGGAAUGCGCAGAUAUCAGGAGGAACACCGAUGGCGAAGGCAGGUCUCUGGGCCACAACUGACGCUGAGGAGCGAAAGCAUGGGGAGCGAACAGGAUUAGAUACCCUGGUAGGCUCUGC
rnacentral:rRNA from 1 species